rnacentral:rRNA from 1 species
GUGCCAGCAGCCGCGGCGGUAAUACGGAGGGUGCAAGCGUUAAUCGGAAUUACUGGGCGUAAAGCGCACGCAGGCGGUCUGACAAGUCGGAUGUGAAAUCCCCGGGCUCAACCCGGGAACUGCAUUCGAAACUGUCAGGCUGGAGUCUUGUAGAGGGGGGUAGAAUUCCAGGUGUAGCGGUGAAAUGCGUAGAGAUCUGGAGGAAUACCGGUGGCGAAGGCGGCCCCUGGACAAAGACUGACGCUCAGGUGCGAAAGCGUGGGGAGCAAACAGGAUUAGAUACCCUGGUAGUCCACGCUGUAAACGAUGUCGACUUGGAGGUUGUGCCCUUGAGGCGUGGCUUCCGGAGCUAACGCGUUAAGUCGACCGCCUGGGGAGUACGGCCGCAAGGUUAAAACUCAAAUGAAUUGACGGGGGCCCGCACAAGCGGUGGAGCAUGUGGUUUAAUUCGAUGCAACGCGAAGAACCUUACCUGGUCUUGACAUCCACAGAAGUUUUCAGAGAUGAGAAUGUGCCUUCGGGAACUGUGAGACAGG